rnacentral:rRNA from 1 species
GAUGAACGCUGGCGGCGUGCCUAAUACAUGCAAGUCGAGCGAACGGACGAGAAGCUUGCUUCUCUGAUGUUAGCGGCGGACGGGUGAGUAACACGCGGAUAACCUACCUAUAAGACUGGGAUAACUUCGGGAAACCGUAGCUAAUACCGGAUAAUAUUUUGAACCGCAUGGUUCAAAAGUGAAAGACGGUCCUGCUGUCACUUAUAGAUGGAUCCGCGCUGCAUUAGCUAGUUGGUAAGGUAACGGCUUACCAAGGCAACGAUGCAUAGCCGACCUGAGAGGGUGAUCGGCCACACUGGAACUGAGACACGGUCCAGACUCCUACGGGAGGCAGCAGUAGGGAAUCUUCCGCAAUGGGCGAAAGCCUGACGGAGCAACGCCGCGUGAGUGAUGAAGGUCUUCGGAUCGUAAAACUCUGUUAUUAGGGAAGAACAUAUGUGUAAGUAACUGUGCACAUCUUGACGGUACCUAAUCAGAAAGCCACGGCUAACUACGUG